rnacentral:tRNA from 1 species
GUUUAAAUAGUUUAAUAAAAAUGUUGGGUUGUGGCACCAAAGAUGUAAUAAGUUACUUUAAACU